GAUGAACGCUGGCGGCGUGCUUAACACAUGCAAGUCGAACGGGAAAUAUUUCAUUGAGACUUCGGUGGAUUUGAUUUAUUUCUAGUGGCGGACGGGUGAGUAACGCGUGGGUAACCUGCCUUAUACAGGGGGAUAACAGUCAGAAAUGGCUGCUAAUACCGCAUAAGCGCACAGAGCUGCAUGGCUCAGUGUGAAAAACUCCGGUGGGAUAAGAUGGACCCGCGUUGGAUUAGCUAGUUGGUGGGGUAACGGCCCACCAAGGCGACGAUCCAUAGCCGGCCUGAGAGGGUGAACGGCCACAUUGGGACUGAGACACGGCCCAGACUCCUACGGGAGGCAGCAGUGGGGAAUAUUGCACAAUGGGGGAAACCCUGAUGCAGCGACGCCGCGUGAAGGAAGAAGUAUCUCGGUAUGUAAACUUCUAUCAGCAGGGAAGAUAGUGACGGUACCUGACUAAGAAGCCCCGGCUAACUACGUG
rnacentral:rRNA from 1 species